UACAGAGGUCUCAAGCGUUGUUCGGAUUCAUUGGGCGUAAAGGGUGCGUAGGCGGCCCGGUAAGUCGGGUGUGAAAUCUUGGAGCUUAACUCCGAAACUGCAUUCGAUACUGCCGUGCUUGAGGACUGGAGAGGAGACUGGAAUUUACGGUGUAGCGGUGAAAUGCGUAGAUAUCGUAAGGAAGACCAGUGGCGAAGGCGGGUCUCUGGACAGUUCCUGACGCUGAGGCACGAAGGCCAGGGGAGCAAACGGG
rnacentral:rRNA from 1 species